rnacentral:rRNA from 1 species
GCUGGCGGCGUGCCUAAUACAUGCAAGUCGAGCGAACGGACGAGAAGCUUGCUUCUCUGAUGUUAGCGGCGGACGGGUGAGUAACACGUGGAUAACCUACCUAUAAGACUGGGAUAACUUCGGGAAACCGGAGCUAAUACCGGAUAAUAUUUUGAACCGCAUGGUUCAAAAGUGAAAGGCGGUCUUGCUGUCACUUAUAGAUGGAUCCGCGCUGCAUUAGCUAGUUGGUAAGGUAACGGCUUACCAAGGCAACGAUGCAUAGCCGACCUGAGAGGGUGAUCGGCCACACUGGAACUGAGACACGGUCCAGACUCCUACGGGAGGCAGCAGUAGGGAAUCUUCCGCAAUGGGCGAAAGCCUGACGGAGCAACGCCGCGUGAGUGAUGAAGGUCUUCGGAUCGUAAAACUCUGUUAUUAGGGAAGAACAUAUGUGUAAGUAACUGUGCACAUCUUGACGGUACCUAAUCAGAAAGCCACGGCUAACUACGUGCCAGCAGCCGCGGUAAUACGUAGGUGGCAAGCGUUAUCCGGAAUUAUUGGGCGUAAAGCGCGCGUAGGCGGUUUUUUAAGUCUGAUGUGAAAGCCCACGGCUCAACCGUGGAGGGUCAUUGGAAACUGGAAAACUUGAGUGCAGAAGAGGAAAGUGGAAUUCCAUGUGUAGCGGUGAAAUGCGCAGAGAUAUGGAGGAACACCAGUGGCGAAGGCGACUUUCUGGUCUGUAACUGACGCUGAUGUGCGAAAGCGUGGGGAUCAAACAGGAUUAGAUACCCUGGUAGUCC